CAGCGCCACGAGUGGGGAUCCUGUUUAUUUGGCCUAAAGCGUCCGUAGCUGGUUUAGUAAAUCUCUUGUGAAAUCGUUAGGCUUAACUUAACGGCAUGCAGGAGAGACUGCUAGACUAGGGACCGGGAGGAGUCAGAGGUAUGUUGGGGGGAGCGGUAAAAUGCUAUAAGCCUCAGUAGACCACCUAUGGCGAGGGCAUCUGACUAGAACGGGUCCGACAGUGAGGGACGAAAGCCAGGGGAGCAAACCGGAUUAGAUACCCGAGUAGUCC
rnacentral:rRNA from 1 species